UUCCGCCUGAUAAAUGGCUUUUUAAGAC
rnacentral:sRNA from 1 species